rnacentral:rRNA from 1 species
UAAUUGAAGAGUUUGAUCAUGGCUCAGAUUGAACGCUGGCGGCAGGCCUAACACAUGCAAGUCGAGCGGCAGCACAGAGGAACUUGUUCCUUGGGUGGCGAGCGGCGGACGGGUGAGUAAUGCCUGGGAAAUUGCCCGGUAGAGGGGGAUAACCAUUGGAAACGAUGGCUAAUACCGCAUAACCUCGCAAGAGCAAAGCAGGGGACCU